CUGAGUAGAGAGGCGCAAGGGUGAGUAAUACAUGGCUAACGUACCUCCAACACUGGAAUAACAACUGGAAACGGUUGCUAAUGCCGGAUAGUCCCAUUUAACCACAUGGUGUGAUGGGUAAAGGUGGGGAUCCCUUCGGGGACCUCCUGGUUGGAGAGCGGGUCAUGGGCUAUCAGCUUGUUGGUGAGGUAAAGGCUCACCAAGGCUAUGACGGCUAGGCGAUCUGAGAGGAUGAUCGCCCACAUCGGGACUGAGACACUGCCCGGACUCCUACGGGAGGCUGCAGUCGAGAAUCUUCCGCAAUGGACGAAAGUCUGACGGGGCGACGCCGCGUGAGGGACGAAGGCUUUCGGGUUGUAAACCUCUUUCGCCUGUUAAGAACAACCUCUGGCUAAUAAUCAGGGGCCUGACAAAGGCAGGUAAAGAAGCACCGGCUAACUCCGUGCCAGCAGCCACGGUAAUACGGAGGGUGCAAGCGUUACUCGGAAUCACUGGGCGUAAAGCGUACGUAGGCGGCCAGCCAAGUUGGAUGUGAAAUCCCACAGCUUAACUGUGGAACUGCGUCCAAAACUGGUUGGCUCGAGAACAGUAGGGGACAGUGGAACUCAAGGUGGAGCGGUGAAAUGCGUAGAGAUCUUGAGGAACACCGGUGGCGAAAGCGACUGUCUGGGCUGUUUCUGACGCUGAGGUACGAAAGCCAGGGGAGCGAACGGGAUUAGAUACCCCGGUAGUCCUGGCCGUAAACGAUGGGCACUAGCUUGAGGGACCUUCGGGUUUCUCUUGCGUAGCUAACGCGUUAAGUGCCCUGCCUGGGGAGUAUGCGCGCAAGCGUAAAACUCAAAGGAAUUGACGGGGGCUCACACAAGCGGUGG
rnacentral:rRNA from 1 species